ACACUCUUAAGAAAAAAGGUUCUUCAAAGGUUCUGAAACGAUGGUAAAGGUUCUAUAUAGAACCAUAGCUUACUGAAGAACCAUUUUUUGCUGAAAUGGUUCUUUGUCUUGGCAAAAGGGUUCUUUAUUUCCCUCCUUUUUUGAUUUUAAAUUUAGUCAGUUAUUUUCAAGCUGCCUCCUGAUUAUUUUCACCUGUAAAAGCUCUGAAUCAUCAGUCCUGCUGAACUGCCUGCAGACUAACAUCCCAAACAGGUAAGAGAGGAAAAUAAUCAUCAUUUACUGUUAAAAACAUUUUGAAAAUUGAAGUUUUGUGUGUUCUUAUUGUAAUUUAUUUAUUUUAUAACAGGUAAACUUUAUACUGUAAGCUUCAUUCCCUUUAAAGCAGAGUUUUUGUAUGUGAGGUAAUCUUACUGGGAGUGAAGGCAGUGCGUAUGACAGCUUAAUAUGAGACACAUCCUGUAUUUAAAGGUCAACUUUAUACUGUAAGCUUCAUUCCAUUUAUAACAGAGUUUUUAUAUGUGAGGUAAUCUUGCUGGGAGUGAAGGCAGUGCGUAUGACCACUUGAUACGAGAGACACAUUCUAUUUUUAAAGGUGAUGUAUGCAUGUUCCUUUCAAUCCUGGCAUUAAAAUAAUAAUAUUUACUGUUUAAACAUUUUGUAAAUUGAGGUUUUGUGUGUUUUUGAUGUACUUUAUUUCUUUUAUAACAGGUCAACAUACUGUAAGCUUCAUUCCCUUUAAAGCAGAGUUUUCGUAUGUGAGGUAAUCUUGCUGGGAGUGAAGGCAGUGCGUAUGACCGCUUGAUAUGAAAGACACAUCCUGUUUUUAAAGGUGGAUCAUGAGUGAAGCUCUGCAGGUCUGCCAUUUCCCUUUCUUAUCUUACUCUUAUCUGACUAAAUGUUCAGCAUCAUUGCAACAAAACAAAGAACAUUGGAUGGAGUAUUGGAGUAUUGGAUGAUCCCGUAAAGAAAAUAAUAUGGACUUUUUUGGUGAGAUUCUACAAAGAUUGACACAAUCCUAUUGACUUUUAUUUUUACAGUUAAUAAUGCAUUAUAAACAUCCCAUUCAUUUGUAUUCUAUGUCAUCGAUCUGUUUGUGCUAAAAUGUAUACAUCUGAAUGUAAUGUCAAUAAUAUGUUAAUAUUCAGGAUUUAUUAUCAUUUGCAUGUUUUGAUGUUGCAUGUCAUGAUUUUAUUGAUUUCAUGUAAUUGUUGUCUAUUUAAAAUGAUUUUAAUUGCCAAAUUUUAUUGUUAAUUUAUUUAAUAUUGAAGCUGUUAUUUAACAUCCAUAUCUUAUUUGAGUAGUGAUUUGUUAUAUUUGCAUAAUAAUUAAUAUAUUUAUUCUGAUUGUGAUUUUAAUGCACAU